GAGCCCGUGGCUCAAUGGUAGAGCAUUGGACUCAAAUACCAAAGUUCGCGGGUUCAAAUCCCUGGAGUUCC
rfam:Schistocephalus solidus strain NST_G2 genome assembly, scaffold: SSLN_contig0005973